GGUCUUAUGUUCAUGAUUGAGUGAUUAGAAUGCAAUUCUAAGAAAGUAGCAGGACUACUAAGACUU
rnacentral:tRNA from 1 species